rnacentral:rRNA from 1 species
GAGUGGCGGACGGGUGAGUAACACGUGGGUAACCUGCCCAGAAGCAGGGGAUAACACCUGGAAACAGAUGCUAAUACCGUAUAACAGAGAAAACCGCCUGGUUUUCUUUUAAAAGAUGGCUCUGCUAUCACUUCUGGAUGGACCCGCGGCGCAUUAGCUAGUUGGUGAGGUAACGGCUCACCAAGGCGAUGAUGCGUAGCCGACCUGAGAGGGUAAUCGGCCACAUUGGGACUGAGACACGGCCCAGACUCCUACGGGAGGCAGCAGUAGGGAAUCUUCCACAAUGGACGCAAGUCUGAUGGAGCAACGCCGCGUGAGUGAAGAAGGGUUUCGGCUCGUAAAGCUCUGUUGUUAAAGAAGAACGUGGGUGAGAGUAACUGUUCACCCAGUGACGGUAUUUAACCAGAAAGCCACGGCUAACUACGUGCCAGCAGCCGCGGUAAUACGUAGGUGGCAAGCGUUAUCCGGAUUUAUUGGGCGUAAAGCGAGCGCAGGCGGUCUUUUAAGUCUAAUGUGAAAGCCUUCGGCUCAACCGAAGAAGUGCAUUGGAAACUGGGAGACUUGAGUGCAGAAGAGGACAGUGGAACUCCAUGUGUAGCGGUGAAAUGCGUAGAUAUAUGGAAGAACACCAGUGGCGAAGGCGGCUGUCUGGUCUGUAACUGACGCUGAGGCUCGAAAGCAUGGGUAGCGAACAGGAUUAGAUACCCUGGUAGUCCAUGCCGUAAACGAUGAUUACUAAGUGUUGGAGGGUUUCCGCCCUUCAGUGCUGCAGCUAACGCAUUAAGUAAUCCGCCUGGGGAGUACGACCGCAAGGUUGAAACUCAAAAGAAUUGACGGGGGCCCGCACAAGCGGUGGAGCAUGUGGUUUAAUUCGAAGCUACGCGAAGAACCUUACCAGGUCUUGACAUCUUCUGCCAACCUAAGAGAUUAGGCGUUCCCUUCGGGGACAGAAUGACAGGUGGUGCAUGGUUGUCGUCAGCUCGUGUCGUGAGAUGUUGGGUUAAGUCCCGCAACGAGCGCAACCCUUAUUACUAGUUGCCAGCAUUCAGUUGGGCACUCUAGUGAGACUGCCGGUGACAAACCGGAGGAAGGUGGGGACGACGUCAAAUCAUCAUGCCCCUUAUGACCUGGGCUACACACGUGCUACAAUGGAUGGUACAACGAGUCGCGAAACCGCGAGGUUUAGCUAAUCUCUUAAAACCAUUCUCAGUUCGGACUGUAGGCUGCAACUCGCCUACACGAAGUCGGAAUCGCUAGUAAUCGCGGAUCAGCAUGCCGCGGUGAAUACGUUCCCGGGCCUUGUACACACCGCCCGUCACACCAUGAGAGUUUGUAACACCCAAAGCCGGUGGGGUAACCUUUUAGGAGCUAGCC